rnacentral:rRNA from 1 species
UGGGGAAUAUUGGACAAUGGGGGAAACCCUGAUCCAGCAAUGCCGCGUGAGUGAAGAAGGCCUUAGGGUUGUAAAGCUCUUUCGCCCGCGAAGAUAAUGACGGUAGCGGGAGAAGCAGCCCCGGCUAACUCCGUGCCAGCAGCCGCGGUAAUACGGAGGGGGCUAGCGUUGUUCGGAAUUACUGGGCGUAAAGCGUACGUAGGCGGAUGCGCAAGUUGGGGGUGAAAUCCCGGGGCUUAACCUCGGAAUUGCCCUCAAAACUGCACGUCUUGAGACCGAGAGAGGUAAGGGGAAUUCCUAGUGUAGAGGUGAAAUUCGUAGAUAUUAGGAAGAACACCAGUGGCGAAGGCGCCUUACUGGCUCGGUACUGACGCUGAAGUACGAAAGCGUGGGGAGC